rnacentral:hammerhead_ribozyme from 1 species
AUCCAGGAGUCCCAAAUAGGACGAAACGCGCGUCUUGGAU